ensembl:snRNA U6 U6 spliceosomal RNA
CUGCUGGAUUCGGCAGCAUGUAUGCUAAAACUGAAACGAUACAGAGAAGAUUAUCACGGCUUCUGCACAAGGGACGGCAUGCAAAUUCAUGAAGCGUUCCAUAUAAAA